GCGUAGCCCCUUUAAGAGGUAGGCCCCAGUGAGUGCAUUGCCCCUUUAAGAGGAAGUGUCCCGAUUAGCGUGAGCGAAUGAACAAAUGCUUCGGAUUCCGUACUCUUAUAAAGGGUCUGAGCAGCUGUGAGGAAUGGUUGCUGCUUGAUUGUCUGUUUGUUUCAUCGUCAGAUUUCUUCUCUAAUAAGGUGAGCAAUCGAUGUUUUCUUUUGUGUUCAGGUAGAAAGAAGUAUUGUUUUAUGGGGUUUUUCUCUUCCAUAGGCUGCGUUUAUCCUUCAUGUGCAAGUGUUGUGCAUUUAAUAAGAGUGGAUCACCUGGGAGCACUGGUUGGAUUGUGGGUGUUGGUCCUUCGAUGGUGGAAUCUGUGCUACGGUUUACACUGCAUGCUGUGUGAAUUUUAUGAAUUUACGAAGGACAGCGGUGUAUCAAACUUCACUAUUCAACAAGCAUUGUAAGAGGCUUCUGGUGGACACGAUUUCCUGGUCUUCAUUAAGAUGGACAACGAGCUGCAGGAGCUUCGAGACUUGGUGAUCCAGUUAAGGGCAGAAAAUGAGAGACUUGUACAUGAACGGACUGAGGUGACAUUAGUACCUUCAUCAGGGGCCUCUGAUUCUAACAACCCUGGUUCACAUAAUAAUUUUACCCCAACAACGGGCUCUGAACGUCUUUUAUAUGUGCCACGAGAGAGAAAAUGUCCCUUGUUCCGUGGUAAUGUAGGGCUCAAUAUUGUUGAAUGGAUUGAAGAGGUACGUGCAAGU